rnacentral:rRNA from 1 species
GACGAACGCUGUUGGCGUGCCUAACACAUGCAAGUCGAGCGAAGUGGGUACUACGGUACGAACUUAGCGGCGGACGGGUGAGUAACGCGUGGACAAUCUACCCUGUAGACUGGGAUAACACCUCGAAAGGGGUGCUAAUACCGGAUAAUGUCGAGAAGCGGCAUCGCUUUUCGAAGAAAGGAGAGAAUCCGCUAUAGGAGGAGUCCGCGUCCCAUUAGCUAGUUGGUGAGGGUAACGGCCCACCAAGGCGACGAUGGGUAGCCGGCCUGAGAGGGGGAACGGCCACACUGGAACUGAGACACGGUCCAGACUCAUACGGGAGGCAGCAGUGGGGAAUAUUGUGCAAUGGGGGAAACCCUGACACAGCAACGACGCGUGGGCGAAGAAGGCCUUCGGGUUGUAAAGCUCAAUAGUAUGGGAAGAUAAUGACGGUACCAUACGAAAGCCCCGGCUAACUACGUGCCAGCCGCCGCGGUAACAC